UUUAUGCAGGCCCCUUAUGAGGAACCCAUGAAAGUUGUCAACAUAAUUUUGAGAUACUUGAAAUCAACACCUGGUAAAGGGUUAAUCUUUAGAAGAAUAAACAGAAAGACCAUUGAGACAUAUACUGACUUUGAUUGGAUAAGACUGUUGUUGACAGAAAGUCUACCUCUGGUUAUUGUACCUUUGUUUGGGGCAAUCUUGUAACUUGGAAGAGUAAGAUGCAAAGUGUUCUGGUUAAUAUAUAGAGCUAUGAGUUUGAGAAAAUUUGGCUUCAGAAAGCUCCGUCAGAACUUCAUCAGGAAUGUGAGACACCAUUGAAGCUUUUCUGUGAUAAUAAAGUCGCUAUUAUUAUUGUUAAUAACCCAGUUCAACGUAAUAGAACUAAACAUGUUGAUAUUGAUCGACAUUUCAUCAAAGAAAGACUUGACAGUGGGAGCAUAUGCAUUCAGUACAUCCCUUCGAGUCAACAUGUUGUUGAUGUUCUUACCAAGGGGCUUCUCAGACCAAACUUUGGCUUUUGUGUUAGUAAGUUGGGCCUUAUUGAUAUUUACGUUCCAACAUGAGGGGGAGUGUUAGAAUCUUUUCCUUAUUUUCUAAGUAUUUUCCUUGUUAGAAUCUUAGAAUAUUUAUGGAAAGAUUACGAGAAUGUUUUCCUUAUUUUCUAAAUGUUUUUCUUUCUUAUUCCAUUGUAUACUCUAUUCCCCUUGUAUCUAUUGUAUUAUUCCUUAUAAAAUAAUAACAACAAAUUAAUUGUGGUUUUUCUUUCGGUACUUGGAUUUCCACGUAAAUUGGUGUGUGCUCUUUGUCUUUCCUUUUAAUAUGUAUAGAGCAGGUGGUCCAUAGAGGUCAUGUGUUCAAGCCUCUAUAUUGUCGUUUCCUCCCAAUUAACAUUUUAUCAUACAAACACACAAUUUUCAUAUAGUAAUUGAUAGUAUAAUUUAUCAAUUGAUGUUUCAUAAGGUUUGGUUAAUUUUUAGUAACAUUUUAUUAUAUCAUUCAAAUUCACCAUUUUUCAUAUUUAUCCUUCAUUGCUUUCGAUAUAUAUAUAUAGUAAUAAAUAUUUAUUUUAUCAUUUGAUUUUAAAAAUUUAGUUGAAAGAUCUACAAAAUUUGAAUUUAAAAUUGUAUACUUUCCUAAAAUUGUGCAUUUGAUAUAAUAAUAACUUCAUUGUAUUCUCCCUAUAAUUAUGCAUGUAAUUAUUAUUCCAUAAAAUGCUUCAUUUAAAGUAAUAAUAAAUUGGCGUUAUUUAAGGGGAAUCAAUCAAUUAUAACGAUAUUUAUGGAUGAUAAAAAUUUCCUUAAACUAAUGAUACUGACAUUAAAUGCAUCGUAAUUAGAAGAAUAAAAUCAUGAGAAAACCGUGAGAAUGGCAAAAUAAUGAUUAACAAACUGGAAAAGAAUUUGAAUAUUUUAUUUUUGGAAGGAAUUAAUUGAGAAGAGAUGAUUUGUUUUAUUUAAAUUGGAAAAGAAAAAUGGAAAAUGAAGAUAUUUAACGAAAAAUAAUAAUAAUAAUUUAUUAUUAUUAUUAUUUUAAAUAUACCUUUCGGUUCGCAUUCUCUGUCCAUUUCACUAUUCAUCAUCUUCUUCACUUUCACCAAACCCUAGCCGCCGUCGACACCUCCAUCUUCGUUCGAAUGUUCUCUGUCCAGUCGAGAUCUUCACCUCCGUAGUCAUCCCCUCCAUUCGGAUGACAGAGAACUGAGCUGCAAGGAAACGUCUCCUCCGCUGCAUGUCGCUAUACCGUUUUUACUUCAUUCAAAGUCUAACGCCUUUGCGUCGCUUGUUCCUUUGCACAUCGCAUGCCCAACCGCGUCGAUCUCCUUCAUCACCAUUCGUUCGUCGGUUUUACCAAAAUUUUCAGUCACCGUCAGUUGCCGGAUGUUAGUGACUUUGUGGUUGUUAGGGUUUUGUUGUAGUUUUCCUUAAUUACCCCUUGGAGUUAAAAUAAUAUUAAUUUUUAGAUUUUUUGGAAGAGACCAAAGAGGAUGGAAGACGGAAAGGAAGAAUACAAGGUAUGUGGUUGAUGUUUGAUAUCAAAUACAUUGUAUUUAGGUGUAACUACACUAUUUGCCAAAGCUUCCAACCGUCAUCAAUUGCCGGAUUUUAGUGAGUUUGGGGUUUUGUUGUAGUUUUUCUUAAUUAUCCCUUGGAGUUAAAACAAUAUUAAUUUUUAGAUCUUUUGAAGAGGUCAAAGAGGAUAGAAGACGGAAAGGGAAAGCACGACGUAUGUGUGAUAUAAUAUGUAGAAUACAAGGUAUGUGGUUGAUGUUUGAUCUUGAAUACAAUAUAAUUGGAUGUAAUUACACUUAAUUUGUCCUAAAAUCAAGAGGAUAUAUUGUUGCUAUA
rnacentral:lncRNA from 1 species